rnacentral:rRNA from 1 species
AUGGUUCGAAAUUACAGGCUGCUCGACGAAAUGAGGCUGUGGGUGGUCGUCAUAUGGCUGUUUGUUUGUGCGGCGGCUCUUCCUGGCGGCGAGCAGCCGCUGUCGAGGAUCGCAGUUGAGAGAACAACCCUCGCCAUCGAUGACUCGGUGCAUGUAAAGGCGUCCCCGUUGGUUCUUGGGCUCAAGGGCGAGAACAGCGAGUGGGUAGAGGUGGAGUUCUUCCAUCCAAAUCCCUCCGAUGACGACUGGAUUGGUGUGUUUUCUCCUGCCAAUUUCAGUGAUGCGAUAUGCGAGCCUGAAAAUGAGAGGCAGCAACCUCCAGUGCUAUGCACAGCACCUAUCAAGUACCAAUUUGCAAAGUUCAAGAAUGAUGGCUAUAACAGGUCUGGGAAGGGAAACUUGAAGCUUCAGUUGAUCAACCAGAGGGAAGACUUCUCUUUUGCACUAUUUUCCGGUGGUCUGAUGAAGCCCAAGCUGAUUGCUGUCUCAAACAUGGUCACCUUUGCAAACCCAAAGGCACCUGUCUACCCACGUUUGGCACAAGGGAAGUCUUGGGAUGAAAUGACAAUCACCUGGACAAGUGGAUACGAUAUAAAAGAAGCAGUUCCUUUUGUUGAAUGGGGUGCGAAAGGCGGGUCUCAGUUUCUUUCCCCAGCCGGAACAUUAACAUUCAACAGAAAUAGCAUGUGCGGAGCACCUGCUCGAACUGUUGGUUGGCGCCAUCCGGGUUACAUUCAUACUAGUUUCUUGAAGGAUCUGUGGCCAGACUCCAAGUAUACCUACAGGCUUGGCCAUAGGUUACCAAAUGGUACCCACAUCUGGAGCAAGUUAUAUAACUUUAAAGCAUCACCUUAUCCUGGGCAAGAUUCCUUGCAACAAAUUGUCAUAUUUGGAGAUAUGGGAAAGGCAGAGGCAGAUGGUUCUAAUGAGUUCAAUGACUUCCAACCUGGCUCACUGAACACUACUAACCAGAUCAUUAAAGACCUAGAAAACGUUGACAUGGUGCUUCACAUUGGGGACAUUUGCUACGCCAAUGGCUACUUGUCUCAGUGGGAUCAGUUCACCUCACAGAUUGAACCAAUUGCAUCAACUGUACCAUACAUGAUUGGCAGUGGUAACCAUGAAAGAGACUGGCCCGGGACUGGAUCUUUCUAUGGGAAUCUUGACUCAGGUGGAGAAUGUGGUGUUCCUGCGCAAACUGUAUUCUAUACUCCUGCUGAGAACCGUGCAAAAUUCUGGUAUGCGACAGAUUAUGGCAUGUUCAGGUUCUGCAUUGCUAACACAGAAGAAGAUUGGAGGCCAGGGACCGAGCAGUACAAGUUCAUUGAGCAAUGCCUGUCAUCCGUCGACAGGCAGAAGCAGCCCUGGCUCAUCUUUCUGGCGCACCGUGUUCUUGGGUACUCAUCCUGCACUUACUAUGAGACAGAGGGCACUUUCGAGGAACCGAUGGGACGAGAAGCGCUGCAGGAGCUCUGGCAGAAGUACAAGGUUGAUCUCGCCUUCUACGGUCAUGUCCAUAACUAUGAAAGGACAUGUCCAGUCUAUCAGAGCCAAUGCGUCGUUGAUGCAUCGGAUCAUUACAAUGGCCCGUUCAAGGCAACAACACAUGUGGUUGUUGGUGGUACUGGCGCUAGCAUUGCAGAUUCAGCAUUUACCACAUCAAAUAUCCAGUGGAGUCACUUCAGGGACUUUGACUUUGGGUUCGUCAAGCUCACGGCCUUCAACCAUUCAUCCUUGCUGUUCGAGUACAAGAAAAGCCGUGAUGGCAAUGUGUAUGAUCAUUUCACAAUCUCGCGGGAUUACCGAGAUGUCCUGGCUUGCUCCAUCGACAACUGCCCAAGGACUACGCUGGCUUCCUGA